rnacentral:lncRNA from 1 species
GCCCUGGCCCUUGCGUUUGCUAUUGAGUUUCCUGGGGGGGUGGGGGGAACUCCACUGGCCUCAGGGGCUGUGCUGAGUCUGCUUGUUACUGGACAGCUGGACUGUCCACUUAGAGGCCUGGCCAGGCAGGCCUUGGCUGAACCCUGUUUCACUUUGUUUUCCUCCACUUUGUUCUCCUGGAGCUCUCUGUGCUUUUUCCCACCCACAGAUGUGAAUGUCCCAUGAUGUCGGCUUUCCAGAGCCCUGCAUGGCUUGGUUGAAGCAGAAGAGAGCUUGUUGGGCACCUUCUCUGGAACUGGAGGCCAGCCUGCGCUCUUCUGAAAACACAGGAGGCUUCCUGUCCCUGCCUUGCUGGGCGGAGUGAGACUCUGCGGCAUGGUCUGGCGCGGAGACCCGUGGUCCUGCUCGGGACUGGCAGUCUUAGGCUGAGGGAACAUUUUCCAGGGUACACUUGAGGGACAGAACGUCUCAGUGAGAUGGGCUGGGAAUAGGCAGAGUUUUGGAAAAGCCCCUGCUUGUUCUGGGAGGUGUUCAGGAUGCUGAGGUUUUGGAAAUCCAUGGCAGCUCUUCACAACUGCUCCCAGCUUUGGGAAAGGAAUGGAUGGGUGCUAAUACCUUGAAUUCAGUGGCAGAGGUGAAGCCCAGCCAUGCUCAACUGGGACUUAGGCCUCUGCUGGGCCUGAGGAAGACAUUGCACUUGAAGAGAUGUAGCCUAGAGGACUCAGCCCCUGGAGUCACCAGAUGCUGUUUUCAUGGGGCAGCCUUGGCUGGAGCUCUGCUAGGCACAAAGUCAGUGGGGCCUUUGGACCUGGACUCAAAGGGUGUCUGCCUCUGAUGAAGCAGGUAGAACUCCCAGUGUACACCCAUAAGCCAGAACAUGCCGAAGGCAUCUGACCAGGCAGAUCAGUCUCAUUGCAAAGAGAGGCCAGGGAAGGGGAG